UCUUUUCAGGUCUACUGAAGAACAAUCUUCUUGAGACACCCUGAAAUGAAGUAGGAUGUGAUACUGAGACUCGGCACAAUCAUCACAAAGGGUACAAAAACUGCACUCCUUUAGUUAUCGGUGUUUCAUCUUCGGAGUUAAUUAAACAACCCAAAACAAAACCUUAGAGAAAUUUUGAAGAUGAUGAUGAUUCAUCAAUGCUUGAGAAAGCCAUAGAUCGAAGAUCAAAGGCAGGUUCGAGUUUCAACAGAAGAUAUGGAAAAAGAAAGAGGUGCUGAGAUUGGAAUUUGAUGGAGGAACUCGCAAUGCCAAUGGUCGGAUGCAAAAUGCACACUGGAAUUUGAUAAUUGAAGGAUCAAAGCAAAUAAUUGGACAAACCAACAGAAUCUAUGGUCGAUCCAGAAAGUACCAGAACUCAGCAAUGGAACCAUGCGAGUCAAGAUCUCGAACUGGCUGCAUUAUCACUUCUCUCUUUGUUCCAUAUAAAAAACGGGAUGUCCUUGAAAGAUCAAGGAUAUGGCCUUCUUGCUCCUUAUCAUGGAUGGGCACAAGGAAAGCUGUACAUACAAGGGCUCAGGAUGUAUACCAUUUCAACAAAGACACAAUUCUUGAAAAAGGUGAAUAAAGAUGAUAAGUUCAAAUUUUAUUGUGAGAGGCCUCGACAAGAAGUUAUUUGCAAGACUGUGUACAUUCAAGACUUGGUGAAACCGUAUUGCUAAUACUAGCUGAUGCAUUAUUCUCAUCUAAAGCGUACAUACUCUGCCAUGCUAUCACCGUUGGUGUAGUGGUGGUAUAAAUAUUUGACUGCUCACGACUACACUCUAUUACAAGUUUCGGAAUCUGAUAUUGGAUCCCAUUUUGGUAUGAACUAGACAAUAAGGGUGGUUCAGAUUUUGUUUUGGUAUGUAGGGAGAGAAAUUUUAUGCUCUGUAUACUGGGGACUGACUGUUGUAUUCGCUCCCAAGGUACAGUAUCUCCAGAGAUUCAUUCUCAGUAGCUUUAGUGGGCCUGGCACGUUAAAGUGAUAGAUAAAAACAUAUAAGUGAUAGAUUCAUGGCAAUAGGUUGCUUCAACGGUUGCUUUAAAGAGCUUGACAGGAGGAAAAAUGAGAAGCAAUAAAUUUCAGUGCCUGACAUUGUUGGUGGCCAUUUCUUGGAGACAGUGGAGCUGUGACAACCCGAAAAGUCUCUCUGCCUGAAUUCAAAGUGGUGAAGGCACCCCGUGUUGCUGCUACCAUUGCUUAGCUGGAUUGUGAAAAUUCUGAUAGAGAAGCUUAUGUUUGUCAAUGAAAUUAGAGUUAAUUUGUGCUAUUGAUGGAGGUGGUCGGCAGCCUUUGGACCAAGUGGCUGAUGUCGAUACACGAAGCCCUCUUAGUCAGGUGUCUCAUCUUCGGUGUUCAUGUACCUGGAGGCAAUUGAGUCUGAACGAUUCCCUGUGAUAUCCUGGAUGAUAUAGCCAUCAAGUACUUUGAUGGUACACUGGCCAUGUGAGGUUGGUCUUAUCAUCUGCUUUAAGUCUCUGCACCUAAUAAGAAAUACUAAUCAUCUUCUUUGUCUCAAUAAGAGCAUAUUAGUGGAUCGAUUUGUCUCAAACUUUGAGACCUCACAUUAGGUAUUACUUAUCUGACAUGUCAUCAUUUUUUUACAUCACGAAUAAAUUGCCAAUAUAAUUUUAGUCUGUCUUAACAUAUCUUUUUUAAUCUCUAAAGGUCGAUAGAUUAUUUGGUCGGAAAACAUGCAAACCGAUCGACAAGGCCAUGAAGAAGUUAUAAAUCCCAAUCUUUGGUGGUGUCAAUGCGGUAGUUUCACUAAUGUGGUUGUUAUUUUCCUUAAUCCGGUCACUACUCAAUUUAAAGUGCAGGGUAUAACAAAUAUGUAAUACAACUAUCUCUAUGCGUUUCACUGGUUUUGGAUUUCUGAUUCUGAAACAAGAAGUCUUAAUUGUUUUUACAGUUUUAGAGCAAUUUUGUGCUGGAAGAUUCUUAGAUUCUUUUUUGCGAAUAUAACAGUGCCAUCCCAGAUUUACUGGAGGAGAUAACGAAUCUUAAAAAGGCGAGAAUCGAGACAGAGCUAAUAAACUUGGAGAAGUUCAAAACCCUGAUUCUGAACAACCAAAUGAAUUAGGCCUUUCUUCUAUGUUGUGGCUCCUCUUGGUAUUGUUGAUCUUAGGCCAGAAAAUGCAAUGAGGAUGUUGAAGUAUCUUGGAGGUCAUGUGAAACAUACACAUUUUCUGAAGGGUUUGAAUUAUGCGUUACUGAACACAGUACUUAGUGAGAUUACGAAACCAGACGAUGGAGAGGAAGGCAGAGAAGUAUCUAAUCCAGUUUUUGGACUGAGCAGGCAAAAAUCUGGAGAUUUUUGGGGUAAAGCCGUAAAGGGAGGGGACAAGUUCAAUCCGUGAGAAUUUUCAGAAAAACUGACAGGUUUAGAUCAAUUGGUGUAUCUCCUAUUGACUGACAUAUUUACUGAAAAGUACGAUUUUGCUGAACAGUAGAUUUAGACAACGGUUUAAGAAAAGUUAACUUCUACGCAAUGAUUUCUCUUAUUUGUAAGUUUAGUUUAUACUUAAUAGAGAAGUAGUGAUGAACGUUGUUAUUGGUCCAGUUGCAUUUGCAUGCGUAACCCAGUUUUUGGACUGAGUAGGCAAAAAUUUGGUGAGAAUUUCAGUUGCUUAAUCUCUUAACUUUCAGUACCAUCCCAUGGGGUUCGGAGUCCCUUAAUCAGUUUGACAUCUUUCUUCCCGAGUUGGUCCUAUUACUCUUUUAGGUACCAGUUUUUUUUCUUUUUUCCCUUCAAUUUAAUUUCAUGCUUUUAGCUCGCGACAAGCUUAUUCAGUGAUUUUACGUUUGAGCUUAGAGUUGAAAAGCCUAGCAGUGAGUAUAAUGGGGCUAACUGGGUUUCAUUUUACUUAUGGAUACUUUUAAACCUACUGCAUACAGUUUGGUCAUAGAUUCAACUUUGGUUAAAGAGCAGUAAAUCUAAUUUCUAUUUUUGUGUGUCUCUCUUUUAGAUUUUUUGUUUUUAAUUAGUCUUCAGAUUUUUUUUUACCCUAUUUGUUCUCAAUUAGAUAAGGCUAAAUAGAUGUACAAAAAUAAGGGAGAGCCAGGAUUCAAUAUCUUUGUAAAGCCUAAAGGGGUUGUUUCUACUGCAGUAGAAUUGUUGCGCAACCAACAUAUACUGAAAAGAAAAGUGGCAGAAACAGAUGGAGCGGUGUCUUCCGAUGCAACAUUAAUUAUGACUCCAACUGAAUUGGGCUAAUGUUUCUACAUCUAUAUAUACUGCUUUUUCAAGCAUCUAUUAUUAGAUGUAUCAAUACUAACUCAGUAUCAGUUGGAAAAAGAAAAAUGACACGCAAAUGGGUAAGUUGAUGUUCCCCGUUACUGUUAUGGUCUUUUAUGUGUGUGUUAGGGGCUGGGUAAGUCGGCGUUCUCCAUUACUGUUAUGGUCUUUUAUGUGGAACAAGAUAAUAGCAUUUCUCUGGGUAAGCUGACGUUCUCCAUUACUAAAAUCUCUAUCCUACUUAAUGGAGGUCCUAUUGGAUAUUUUGGUGUCAGUAGCGGUCUAUAACAGGGUGAUCCCCUUUCUCACAUAUUAUUUUUUCUUGCCGAAGACAUUCUUAGCAGGAAGCUAUCUCAGCUGAUUAAUAAUGGUGGUAUUCAACCUUAUGCUUAUAAGAAAAGGCAUUUAACUUUCUCACCUUCUUUUUGCCGAUGAUAUUUUUCAUCUUUUGCAAUGGUGGAACAAAAGUUUAGAUAACUUGAGACAAUUACUUGCUAUUACCAAGUUUCUUCUGCUCAAGUGAUUAAUGCGGUCAAAAGUAAAGUUUUUGUUGAUGGUACUAACAACAGAUUGCUGCUUAUAUGGGAAUGAGUCUGGCCAACUUUCCAGAUAAAUAUUUGGGUGUUCUUUUGAUGCCAGGAAAAGUGAAGUCUGAGCAUGUAUGGUGCUUGGUUGAUUAUCUUCAUCAACGACUUGCUUCUUGGGUUGGUAAGCUUCUAUCUUUUCAAGCUAGAUUAACUCUAAAGCAUGUUCUUAGUAGUAUUCCCGUAUAGAACAUGUCCAUUUAUAAAUGGCCAAAAAAGGUUAUUUUGAAAUGUGAUAAGAUUGUUGGAAACUUGAUGGUGACUGCUAAUUGGGAUGAGGUGUGUACUCCACUAGAUGAAGGAAGGUGGUUUAGGCAUAACAAAAUUUGAAGAUCUGAAUAAAGCUUUGUUAACGAAGCUUCUAUGGAAAGUUCAAAAUUCUGAAGCUGAAUGGGCCAAAUGUAAAGAUGAUAACAGAUGGAUUACUUAUUAAAAGAAAUCUUCAAUUUGGACUGGUAUAAAGUGGGUGAUCAAUGAUUUGAACGAAUAUACAAGAUGGAUUGUAGGAGAUGAUAAAAACAUUUCUAUUUGGAACGAUGUUUGGCUUCAAAACUAUUUCUUCUUUAUUUCCUAACAACUCUUUCAUCAAUCAAGUAGUAACAUGAAAGUCAGUGAAUUGAUUGUCAAUAGACAAUGGAUGAUUCCCGAAAUGGUUUUGGACUUCAUUGAUUUGGCUGAUCUUCCUAUUCUUCAUCAUGGGGAAGACAAAAUGAUCUGGUGUGGUAAUUCCAAGGGUAUAUUUUCUGUUUCUAAUGCUCUGGAGAAAAUAAGAUUUGUUAUGCCAAAAGUUAGCCAUUACAAGAAAAUUUGGAGCUCUUAUGUGCAUCCUACAGUUGCCAGCAAUGUAUGGAAGAUUGUUAGAGGGGCUAUAGCUGAUGACAUGAACAUGAAAAAGAGAGGCUUUAAUAUGCUGUCAAGAUGCUUGUUCUGCCACAAAGAGGAAGACAUAACUGAUCAUCUUUUAUGGCAUUGUGAAGUGUGAAUUCAGUCAAGAAAUUUGGAGAUGGCUAGGAGGUAUUUUUCCCUUCUUUAUCUCUACUUCAUUUACUGAUAUUUUCUCAUUUAGUAAAUAUAAAAGUCCUGUGGUAAAAGAAAUUUGGAGGAUAGCUGCUUCCAAAACUCUUAAGAAACAGAGUUUUCUAUGACAAUGAGGUUCCUGAUGUUUCUAGAUUCAAACAGAAAGUAUUACAGUUCAUUCAUGACUUUGAAACAAGACUGAAGGGUCUUAUGUGGAAUAACAGUUAUGACAUCUCUGUCCUUCAACAUUUUGAUAUAAGGAAAAAGAAAAUUGUAACAUUAUGAAGUGAUUGAAUGUAGAUUUUCUCUCCCUGAUGAAAACUCAAUCCUAAUCUGUUGUGAUGUCGCUUCAAGAGAUAACCCGGGUAUGUCAGGUUAUGGCUUUAUGGUUAGGUAUGCUGAAUCUGGUGGAUUGGGUUUGGCUACAAAUCAUCUAGCUGAGGUAUUUGCAGUUAUAAGAGAGCUUUGAAUGGGCAGUUGAUAAUUAGCAGUACAGAGUGAUUCUCCAAACUGACUGUAAAGCUACGGUGACUUCUUUCAUGUGAAAGAAUCUUCCUUGGAUUGUUUGGUCAAGAUGGGAAAGGAUCUGCAAUUUACUCCAGUUUGUCCCUUACCAAACAUGUGUGCAAGGACAUCUCUGCGGAUUUCUUUGCCAAGAAAGGAGUUUCCUUAAACAAGGACAGAUAUUGCGCUUCUUUUCAAGAACUAAUGAGUUGCUGAGACUUGAAUUCCCGGAUUUGACUUAUCUCCGGUUUGCUUGACGUUGAUCUCAGUUUAGUUUCUCUUUUGGGCUUUCUGGGUUUAUUCUCUUAUUUUUUAGUUUGUGGGCUUUGGACAUGUUGUCUCUUCUUCUGCCCCUUGUUUUUGAACGAUUUUUUGGGGACCAUGAUUUUUUUUUUUGGGACCAUGGUUUUAUUUUGGUUAAAGACAUUAGAAGUAAAUCUAAGUCACCCCUUGUCUAGAUAUUUAUAUUAAUACCUA